rnacentral:rRNA from 1 species
UACGUAGGGUGCAAGCGUUAAUCGGAAUUACUGGGCGUAAAGCGUGCGCAGGCGGUUUUGUAAGUCUGUCGUGAAAUCCCCGGGCUCAACCUGGGAAUUGCGAUGGAGACUGCAAGGCUAGAAUCUGGCAGAGGGGGGUAGAAUUCCACGUGUAGCAGCGAAAUGCGUAGAGAUGUGGAGGAACACCGAUGGCGAAGGCAGCCCCCUGGGCUAACACUGACGCUCAUGCACGAAAGCGUGGGGAGCAAACAGG